rnacentral:rRNA from 1 species
UCGGUUGGACGCUUAGUGGCGCACGGGUGCGUAACGCGUGGGAAUCUGCCCUUGGGUUCGGAAUAACAGUUAGAAAUGACUGCUAAUACCGGAUGAUGUCUUCGGACCAAAGAUUUAUCGCCCAAGGAUGAGCCCGCGUAGGAUUAGGUAGUUGGUGGGGUAAAGGCUCACCAAGCCGACGAUCCUUAGCUGGUCUGAGAGGAUGAUCAGCCACACUGGGACUGAGACACGGCCCAGACUCCUACGGGAGGCAGCAGUGGGGAAUAUUGGACAAUGGGCGAAAGCCUGAUCCAGCAAUGCCGCGUGAGUGAUGAAGGCCUUAGGG